UACGUAGGGGGCAAGCGUUGUCCGGAUUUAUUGGGCGUAAAGAGCGUGUAGGCGGCCAGAUAGGUCAGCUGUGAAACUCGAGGCUCAACCUCGAGACGUCGGUUGAAACCAUCUGGCUAGAGUCCGGAAGAGGAGAGUGGAAUUCCCGGUGUAGCGGUGGAAUGCGUAGAGAUCCGGAAGAACACCGGUGGCGAAGGCGGCCUGCUGGGCUAUGGCUGACACUGAGGCGCGACAGCGUGGGGAGCAAACAGGG
rnacentral:rRNA from 1 species